rnacentral:rRNA from 2 species
GACGUAGGGGGCGAGCGUUGUCCGGAAUCACUGGGCGUAAAGGGCGCGUAGGCGGCCUGGCAAGUCGGAUGUGAAAGGUCCCGGCUCAACCGGGGAGGUGCAUUCGAAACUGCCGGGCUUGAGGGCAGGAGAGGGCAGCGGAAUUCCCGGUGGAGCGGUGAAAUGCGUAGAGAUCGGGAGGAACACCAGUGGCGAAGGCGGCUGCCUGGCCUGGCCCUGACGCUGAGGCGCGACAGCGUGGGGAGCGAACGGG